CUGGGAGCGCAACAGCCUUUGAUGCCAUCUUCAGCGCGAAAACUAACGAAAAUAGCAGGAAGGGAGGAAAGAGUACUUUUUUCCCCCUCCCCCGCCCCCCCAAACUAAGGCUUUUCUUACCUCACCCACGACCCGUACACAACGUCACAGAAAUGGGUUUGAAGACCGCUCUUAACUGCCGUGAAUUCUGUGAAUUCCGACUUGAGCAAUAAAGUUAAAAGGGGAAUGAAAAAAAAAAAAGAAGAAGAAGAAGAAGAAGCAAGCCAUCAGGCUGGAAUUCCUUAACAGCAGCACCCUGCUAAUGACCCUUUUGUCCUUAAAGCACCACUCAGCCUCUGCUUUUACAUCCCGCCUUGUUUUGUUCUGCGGGAAUAUUCGCAUAUCACAUGAAAGGGAUGUGUGAACGGACGCAUUUCCCCCCUCCUAUCAAUAUUCCUAUUUUGUCAGUUCCUUAAUGCAUGCAGGAACCUCUCCCAUAGCAACACAGAAAGCUUAAGAAACUUUGCCUAAUUCUUUAAUUACCUUUUUCUUUCUAUUAAGAGGAGCUCGGGCAUUUCUGAGACAGAAAAUCAAUACAUCAUCUAUUAUAUUAGUCUCGGGAACAGCAGAUCUAGCCGUACUGAUGGUGAAAGGCCGAGUGUUCUGGAAUAAAGCGUAGACUUCUGAUCUUCCUGAAGUAUUUAAGGCGAUUGAGAAUGUAAGGAUUUAUAAAGAAACUUCGGGUUUAUGCUUUACAUGAUUCAAAGUAUUAUGCUCUUUCUUUCUUUUUUUUUUUUUUCCUUUCCCUUCUCAGUUUUAGGAAUAUCAUAAAGAGAUCGUUUUUGUGAUUCCAAGCCAGGCCGAGUUGUUCUGAUGUCCGCAGCAGCUGGAAGAGAAAACCAUACAACGGCUGAUGGAGUUGGCUGCAGCAAGAAAAUCACAUCUCAGUUCCCAGGAUUUCAGAAAGAUGGGCCUCCUCCGAUAGUUGCAAAUCUCUGCAAAACGUUCUGGUGCUGCUGUGCACUGGUUUGAUCAGAUCUUGGCGAUUUCCUCCUGCGUGCACUCCAUGGCUCUGCUCUUGAGGAUGGAUGAUGCUACCCGGAACUGUGUCUGAUUCAGUGUGCUGAAGGAGGAGAGAAGGGGGAUGCGGAGUUGAUCUUCAAAACUGGCCCGCGUAUUUUGGGUAACAUGUAACGUGUCACAUUUAUUCUAGGCUCACAGCAGCCUAGUUGUGAGAAAAAAAUGUGGAACCAACAUAUGGCUUAGAACUGCUAGCAAUGCAGGGCUAGCAGGAGGUACUUCUGAGGUGCUACACCAUCCACAACACUCGAAUUUUAAAUGUGAUCCGAGUGUGUCCUCUCGAGUGUGACCUGACAGUAAUUAUCGAUCAGGGUCUUCAGUCACUGCUUGAAUUCCUUAGGUCAGUUGAUUUUGAUCAACUGUUUUGUCUUUGUUUUGCUUCCCUGGGGGAAGGGGAAAAGUUGGUUGUGCUGGGAGGGAAGGAACAGCACUGACCAUAGCACUGCAACAUGUAGCACCAACAGAUUUAUUCCUUGGAACAACAACAAAAAAAGUGGGUUUCGAAGGUUUCGAUACCCCCGAUUAAACCAAAGCUGUUCGCGAGGAAAAUGAGAACAGUUGGUGAUGCUCUCGACUACUUUCUUACAGGUCUGAGCCGUUGGCAGCACUGCUGUGCUGAUUCCCCUUCGUCUAAGCGUUCCUGACCGAUCCGUGCCUUGCCCGGAGCGGAAAGGUAAAGAGAGGUCCUUCCGUUUGUGUCGGAGAUGGCUUCUUUCCUGGGCUGGCUUUCUUUGCGGCGUAGGUACGCCGAACCCUGCCGCUUUCCAGUGCCCUUUUUCAGAAGGUUACGCUUCUCUGUGAAAGCGGUAGGUGGCAAGAAAAGGAGAUGGUGAAGCGCUGGCAACACCCAGUGGGUUCAUUAGCUGCUCUUUGCCAUUCGGCCUGAAGGGGCCCGUUCGAAUCACCUGAAAGGUCUCCAGCAGGUAUCUGCAUUGAUAUCUGAUACAGAUAUCUGUAUUGAUAUCUGCUGCAAAGCUGUCUCUGAUGGGACAUUCCAAAGCACGGCCUGCUUUACCCCAUGCCGUGAUUUUCCGGGCCUUGUCCCUCCUGUUAUCAGUGGGAGCGGUCUCCCCAUGGCAGAGCAGAGAUACAAGCUCAGCUUUAGCCCUGAUGCCCCAAUAACUUUCAUUCAUUUCAUCUGUUCACAUGGUGCUGUGAAACUUGCUGGCUUAAUCACUCCUCCCAGGGAUUCUUCUGCUCGGAACUGAACACCGGUGAACACAAAAUGCAUACAUACAUACAAAAGGUAUGUCACAUAUACGUAAACAGGCAAAAAACAAAAAAAAGCCACACCAGUACGAAUGCCUGCAGCACAAAAUCACCUUCACUCGGGCAGACCGGAGCUGGCAGAGCCCCUCACGUGGCACGGGAGCCGUGCUGACUCACGCGCUCACACGGGAAAUCCCAGCAUGCUUUCUGGCCGCCUCUCAUUCAAAUGAUUCUUCCCAGUCCUCUGCUUUUGGGAAGUGAGCCUCAGUCUGCAUCUCACGCCCUGGCGCUCUCAUGCUGUAUUUCCUGCUCAGCACAAAGCUAGCCCAGCUAACUUGACCAGAGCUGCCUGUGAGUUUCCUAGAUGUGCCCACGUAGUGCUGCUGACUGGUUUCACGUCUCACGGCUGUCGCAUCCUGACUUUUGCCUUACAGAAUGCUGUGCUCAGGCUGCCUUUAAAACGCACGACUACGUAGAAGCUCCACGGGGAUCUGCAGGGAUAUGCAAACGUGACUCCUUUUACAAAAGCCACGGUGCUUUCUUCUCACCUCCGUGCAGAUGCCACUUCAUUUCUGCCGUGGGUUCUAAUAAGGCCUCUGGCAGGUGGGCAAAACGUUACGCUCUACCGUUGCCUUUCUUGGGAAAUCCCCUGAAAAUUCUCAAUAUCACAAAUGAAAGAUUUAUUUUGCCCUAAACGACAUUAUUCCGAUUAAAUCCAUAGAGGCUACAGUGAAUAAGCAACAUACAGUCUCGUCGUUGCACCGAGAAAGCGCCGGCAGGGUACAGCGCACGCGCCUGCAUAUUCUAAUCGGCUCUGUGAGUGGGCCGUCUAAGGCAGCAGAUGCAUUAACUGUUGGCUUUAAUUAAUACCCGCGCUAAUGACCGCUAGAGAGUGCUCUUGUCCCUGUUGGUGAGCGCUGCCGCAUUUUCGUCCUCUGAGGAAAUGGGACAGCCGAUUCCAGCGCCGUAGGGAUGAGAGUGAAUUGUUCUUCCAUCUCUUUUUUGAGUUGAAGACACAGAAGUCAAAUAUUGCUCAGCGGCACUGAAAGAGGCAUAUGAAGGAGGAGGCGUCGGAGGUUUGGAUAUGCUUAAUGCUUAAUGAGGAACAGAAAACAGGCUACUUGCUAACUGUUUAUCU
ensembl:lncRNA